UUCAGUCUUGUCCUGUAUGUGUUUGUCAAGCAAUCGGACUGGACAAAUGAAAGAAAUGACCAACAUACCUUUACUCUCUCUCCUUCACUUUUCUCUCUCCUCCCCGAUUCUUUCCCAAAUCCACCUUCGCAGAGCCUCCAUCACAGCCCGGCACAUGAAAUUCUCCAAAGCCAUCAACUCAAUCCCAUUAAACUGCCUCUCUAAUGGCAAAUCCAUAGAUUUGUUUCACACCCAUUAAACCAGCAACCGAGCUACAAGCAGGGACAACGCUAAGAAUGGUCACCCUUUCAAAUUACAUACCAUUAACAAAUUCCCAUAUACAACUAUCAGUAUUGUUCUCUCCAGAAGCAAUUAAAUAUGGCCUAAGUGAUACUUUAUAUACCUAAGCAUGGUUUUAAAAAUCGGACUAGAUCGGCUGGUUCAACCGGUCGAACUGUCGACUGGUCGGAGAAACGGUCCGGUCUCCUGUCAAAAUCUAUUUGGUCAAAAAUUACAUGUGACCUCACUUGAUGAUGAUUUACAGUUGGAUUAUCAAAUUACAAUGGAAUUGAACGAUUUACACUGGGAAUGGAAAAAAAGAUGAUUUUAUUCCUCAAAUGAUGGCACAUAUCAGGAAGAAGGGAAAAUCUAUCCAAGAUUAUAAUAUUCAUUAUCAAUUGGAUUAAUGAGACGAGAAAAUAAAAAUAUAAGUUAAAAUUACAAAAUUUAAAAAUAUAAGGACCCAGAUCACAAAUGAGUAAAACUACAAGGAUCAUUUUUGCAAUUUAAUCACAUUUUUAAAUUCAAUUUGACGAAAUAGUUUUUCAAAAUUUAUUUGGUUGAUUAUUGAGAUCAUGCACUCUAUAAAUUUCUCCGGAAAAGCUCAUUUAUUAUCAAAAACUAAAAUACUAUUUCAAAUUCUCAAAACAUUAUUUCUACUAAAAGAUUAUUACAAUCAUCUCCCACUAUGUUUUAUUUGAAACGUGUUCUCUGUCAUCUCUGCAAUCAUCUCCCACUAUGUUUUAUUUCUGUCUUCGCAAUAAUUACUUAAUAAAGCCCAAAACGACAAAGUCGCAAUAAUACUUUACAAUGAACAAAAAGACAAGUACGCAUAAGUUUGAUUGUGUACCGUGUACGAAGAUCGGAUCAGUGAAUUGAGAGAGGCCAUGUGACCCAACUGUUUUCUUUGAUGCCCAGUUCCUAUCUAAUGGGCUAUGGGUCGUAGCAUCCACAUGAAGUCUGAUCCAAUAUCUUUUUGUUUUUGCUAAGUUUGAUUGGACUGAAAAUGUCGAAAACAUGCUAGAAAUAGAGGGAAUAAAUUCAUUUGUUUAGUAUGAAAUGGUAGAAGUUGCAAGGAAGUCAAGUGAUACCGAAUUAUUUGAAUGUAAUUGUUAAUGUUUACGUAUAAACAUAUAGUCGAGGUUCAUUAUAUUUAUAUUAUUGUUUAUUAUUAGAUAGUAAUAUCAUAGGUCAUUUAUAAUACGAACACGUAAAAUUUAUCAUGGGCUCAUUUUCAUGAACCGAUUUGUUUAGCUUUCAAGCUCAUAUACGUAGAUAGAUUGACUGGGGGAAAAAAGAUCAGUUGGAUUUUGUAAUCAUAGCCACAUGUUUUCAUGAAAAUCUAUUAAAAAAUUCGAUAACAAGUAUAAGUUUGAAGUUGGACUCUCUUAUUUUGUAAAACAAGUUUAAUGAAAUCAAGUGACUGCUUAAUAAUUAAUUAUUAAGUUAAUUUAAUUUUUUUUAAUAAAUGAUCUACGUUCAUAGAUUUAAAGAAUUAUUAAACGGAAGUCAGCUUGUGAUGAGUCCAACGAAAUGAAAUAGGAUGUUGUAGUUCAAAGACAAGUCAUUUUCUUUUCGUUUAUAUUUGUUUUUUAAUUUUAGGCUGUAAUUACAAAGGAAAAAGGAAAGGAAAAAAGGUAAUGAAUCUAACAGAUUAAAUUUAAUUUGUUAGAUACCUUCUAGUGUGUUGAAUAAUUAAUUAUCUAUUAGCUCAAACUCAUCUCUGUUUUAAAUUCCAAAGAUGUAUAACUACUUAAACUAAGCUCAAGCUUAAUAUCAAACAUAGAAUUAAUAACACAUAUUAUAAAAGCAAAAAAACUAAGUGAGUGAACUUAAAAAUUAGCCAUGCAUAAUAUAUAAUUUAUCCCACAUGUGAAAAUAUUAGACUUAUCUCACAUCGCUUAUCUCAUCCAACAAACUUAAUUUUAAAUUAGACUCCUCAACCCUUUUCUCUAACAUGAUAUCCAAAAUAUAUACUUUGAGUGAUUCUCUCAGUAGUGAUCAUGUCUCUACUUAAGUCUCUAUCUCUCUUCUCAUCAACUCCAAGUUCAUCCUCUUAAUCUACUGCCUACCUUACCUUGUGCUAUGUGGCCAUUGCUUCUUAGCACAAGUAAUAAUUAAAAAAGUAUCUUAUUUUCAUAGACCAGAUAUGUGUGUUGAUGAUAUUAUCUAAGGUGUUUCAAAAAUUCGAAAUAUGGUUAAAUAAAACCCUAGAAUGUGGUUUGGUUCUAUAGUUUAGAUGGUUCAAUUCUCAUUUUAGAAAUAGAAAAUUGAGGAUGUUUGGCUUUGGUAUUUACUCUCUGCUUUAUAUAUUGAAUCUCCAUUAUUCUAUUUUGAGAUGUUUAAGAAUCCAUUUAUCUUUUUUUUCAUAUAUUAUUUAAGUAACAUUCAACCAAAUAAAAAAUUAAAUGUAAUAAUUACUAUGUUAAAAUUAAAAAUUCAGUAAAAAGUAAAUGUUAUGAUUGUGUUUCCUUAAAAAUUAAAUUGAAUUCUCCGAAAAAGACCUUCAAUAUAGGACUAAGUGAAUAUAUAUUAAAACUUGAAUGCUUCGUUACGUUUAUGCUAUGGAAUGUUUAUAUUAUCACCCUCUCGAUAACCAUAGUAAUAUUCUUAUCUCACAUUAUUCUAACGAUGAACACAAAAUAAUAGAGACAAGUUUAGAGACGAUGUAUAGAAUUAAAAGGGUGAGAAAAUUUGCAAUAUUUAGUUAAUUUUUUUAAAUUCAAUUUUACAAAGUUAUUUUUCAAAAUUUAUUUGAUUGACUAUUGAAAACACGCUCUCUAUAAUUUUUUUCAAGAAAAAACUCAAUUUUUAGCAUAAAUUAAAAUAUACCAUAUUUAAACUGUCAAAAACCAUUCCCACUGGAGGAUAAAUAAUAUAUGUUAUCUAACACGUUUUCUCUGUAAUGUUGUCAACAAUAAUAUACGAAAAGACAAAGUAUAUUUAAGAGCCCCCACUAUGCUUGUGUUUCUCUCUCGUCGCAAUAAUUACUUAUUAAAGUACGAGAAAAGACAAAGUACACGUGAGAUAGGAAAACGACUACUCUAACAAUUUAGGUCUCAUUUGGCUGGAGGAUUUGGAGGGGUAUAAUUUUUUUCCCGGAUAACUUUUUUCUCGGAAUGUUUGGCUAGCGGAUAUGCCCCCGGAUAAGUUAUGCCCCCGAAGGUAGAUAAUUUUUGGGUUGCCUAGACCCCUAACUAAAAAUUAUCCGGGGGAUAAGGGAUACCGCCCCCCUCUCUCCCCCGCCCCCCCCUGUCUCCUUUCUCGUCUCCUCUAUCUACAUCUCUCAGCCCUGCCCACUCUUUUUCCUCUAUCCCUCUUUUCUCUUUUCUUUUCUCUCAUUCCUUUUCUUCCUUCCUCCUAACCUACCUUAUCCACUCAUUCUAAAAAAGUAUCCAAAACAAAAGUUAAAAGUUAUCCCAUCCAAAGUUAUCACCUCUAAAAAGUUUCCUCCCCUAAAAAUUAUGCUGCCUCCCUUAUCCUCAGCCAAACGGGCCCUUGGGGUAAGGUAAAUGUUACGUAGUACGUACCCCCACCAAUUGAAAUAACACCGACACCCAUAGUUAUGAAAACGGACGAACCGGCAGGUUCAACCGGUUCAAUCGAAACUGGGCACUAAAUCGGUUCGGACACAACAUUUUAUCGCAUCGGAAAAAUGCAAGCCAACCGGAUUGAACCGGUUUGAAUCGGCCGAUUUUUUUUUUUUAACAGAAAAAAUAAAGUUUUAAUUUUUACAGUUUGACCCAAAAAUUUUAAUUAAAGUUUUACUUUUUACAAUGACCCCAAAAUUUGAAUUAAAUUAUUUUUUUAAUCGUUUUCUAAAUUAAUUUUUACUAUGAAUGGGUAAUAAAAAAAUUUUUUUUUUUUUUAUAAUAAAAAUAUAAUUUUAUUAUAUUAAUUAUAAAUCCGGUUGAACCGUGGUUGUUUGAACCCAAGGGAACCGUGUGAACCAGUAUUUUGACCGGUUCAAUGUCCGGUUCGGUUCUGAUAACUAUGCCGCGACACCCCUUAAUAUCUGAAAAGGGUAAUGCUAUGAGUACAUUCAAUUUACACCCUAAAUGCAUAUUUGAUGAGGUGGAGUAUUUAAAUUGGUUGGGUGUGGGGUCCACACAGUCCUUUCACCCCACACAUAGCCAAUCUAAAUACUUCAUCUCAUCAGGGGUGCAAGUUGGAUGUACCAUAGCAUUUCUCAUAUCUGAAAACGGUAAAUUUUGACUGACCUCGCAUGAUAUUUUUGAAUCAAAAUCCAACACGUGUACAUUAGUCCAAUUCCUAUUUAAUGGGCUAUUGGGGCCAUAGCCCCUGCAUGUUUCCUCUCGCUGCAUCCACAUGGAGACUGAUCUAAUGUCCCUUUCUUAUCUGUCCUUUCUUUCUUUUUUCAUUAAUUCAAAAGAGGUGAUCAGAUGUGGCGCACCCAUUGUAAUACCAUGGGAGCGUCCCUGAGGGCUCACUACAAUCACAUAAUUUUUUUCAAAUUAUGUCUUAUUUAUUUUUGAAAUCACUCAGCCACAAAAUAUGUGGCUGUGGUGAGGCCACGGAGGGCGCUCCCAUGAUAUUAUCACGGACACGCACCUAUCUGAUCACCACUCUUAAUUUAAUGCGAUGCUCGGAAAAGGUACAAUGGAGUCUUACACGAAUCUCGUAAGUGUUUGCAAUAGUUUAUCUCCUUUAAUUCAUAAACCAUAUAUAAUACUUUAUAUACCGAAGGCAUUAUGAAAUCUAAAAUAUUCCUAAAAUUAUAAUUUAGGUUCGAGUCAAAAAAUUCACAACUACGACCUACAAGCUGAUGAGAUACCAACAUACAUACACCACAAUCAUAUGGUCCUCACUGAUCUCUCUUCUCGACGCCUACACAUGCAUUAUAUGCGCAUAAAAUAUUUGAAGUGUUAAACUAAUCCCAUAUCAAAUAGUUUUGGGAAUACUCCACCUCAUGCUAAUGAUCUUUACUUUACAAUAACAAUUUGUACUACUACAAACAAUUCGCCUUGCUAGAUGCAUUAAAUUGAACUUUCAAGUUCCAAAUUUCUAUUUUGGGAAUUAAAAAGCUUUUUUAAUUGUGCUAUCUGAAAUGACCUUUGGUUUUAACACAUGUAAUAAUUAAAAAAUAUCUUAGCUUUAUCGCCAAAUAUGUGUGUUGAUGAUAUUAUCUAGGGGUGUCUGAAAAUUUAAAAAAAAAACGAUAAAUCAGAUCAAACCAAAUUGGAUCGAACCGUAUGGCUGGUGUGGUCCGGUUCUACGAUUUAGAUUGUUUCAAUACUAAUUUUAAAAAAUAUUAAAUUGGUCUAUAUAGUUCAGUCUUAGUUCUUUAUUUCAGAAUUGUGGUUCAAAAUAAACUGGGCCUGUUUUGUUAAGAACAGAGUUCUGUAACUGGAAUUGAUAUUGCUGAUAGCUGGAAGAAGAAAGAAGAAAAUAGAUUUCCCUAUUCGAGCUAGGGAUAAAGCUCUUAAAAGAACCAAGUAAAGACGGAAUUUUUCAUUCCCUUCUGAAUCAAUGUUACAUUCUUUAUAUUGCUGGACGUUUGACAAGAAUUCAAGGAAUGAUAUCUAACAGUUUUAAACACUAACUGAAUUAACCCAUUCUUGAUAUUGCCCAUGCUUCAGUUAUCUGUUAGCAUAGUUAUUUUGCCAUGCUUUACAUCAUGUUCCUGUCUUUUAAGUCUUAAUCUUUCAUUCAUUCUGGCCUUUUGAUACUCCUUCUUGUUCUAUCAUCCGCUACAAAGCUGUUCUCUCCUACUACCACUGCAUUCGUAACAUGUUUACGUACAUACAUAGCGUGUAUGUGUAAGUUAAACCCAUCCUAACCUUCCUAAUUUAUUUUAUAUUGAGGUAUCAUUACUUAUUGUUUGAUGUUGUAUGAAUUUUUUGGGUUUUCGAUUUUUGCGGUUGUUAUGCUUAGUUUUUUCUAAAGUGGAAUGUUGUCAUGUUAUUUUAAAAUGUAGAUAGUUUAGAAUUUAAAUGUCAGGUAUAAAAUUUAGGAUGUUUGCCUGUGGCAUUUAUUCCAUUCGUCUCAUAGAACUUUUGUUAUUUUAGUUUGGAAUGUCCGAAAAUGUAUAUUCAAUUCGACAGUUAAUAACGAAAAUAUACAACUUUUCUCUUUUAGCCUUUUUUUUAUAAAUUAUUUAAGUAAUAUCAACCAAAACAAAAAAUUAAAUGUAAUAAUUACAGGGAUAAAAUUGGAGAGUCAAUAAAAAUUAAAUGUAAUAAUUAUAUUCCCUUAAAAAGGUUAACUCCCCGAAAUCACACUUCCGUUUGAGGUGGACGGAGUAGAUGUUAAAACUUGAAUGUUAUGUUUUGUUUAUACUGUGUUUAUGUUAUCGGUCUUAACAAUGAGGAUGAUAUUUUUGUCACACAUUAAUCUAAUAAUUAAUUCAAAAAAAAUAGAGAAAAGUUUGGGGACCUCGCAUAGAAUUAAAAGUGCGAGAAAAAAAUUGCAAUGUUUAGAGUAAAUUUCAAAAUAGUCCCUAUAAUUUUUUUUAACAUUGAUUUUGGUUCUUAUAUUUUUAAAUCCCAUGAUUUUAACCUUGUAUUUUAAUUUACAUGCCUAAUCAAUUUAAUUGAUAACCAAAGUUAAGUUGUUGGACAUAUUUUCAAUACAUUUUGAACAUAUGACUUCAUUUGAUGGCAAUUUAUAGUUGGAUUUAUCAAAUUAUAAUAGAAUUUAAGCAAUUUACAGUGAGAAUAGGAAAAAAGUUGAUUUUAUCACUCAAAUGAUGGUACAUGUCGGCCAAUAGUGAAAAUUCAUCCAAAAACAUAACAUUCAUGACCAAUUGGCUUAAUUAGGUGAGAAAAUCAAAAUAUAAAAUUAAAACCGCGGAAUUUUAAAAUACAUGGAUCAAAAUCUUGAAUGAAUAAAACUACAAUGACCGUUUUUGAAAUUUAAUCAUAUUUUAAGAUUCAAUUUGACGAAAUGUUUUUUUCAAAAUUUAUUUGGUUGAUGAUUGAGAACAUGCUCUCUAUGAAUUUCUCGAGAAAAACUCAUUUAUUAGCAAAAAUUAAAAUAGUAUUUAGUGACGGCAUAUAGAAUUAAGAGGGUGAGAGAAAAAAUGGCAAUGUUUAAUAAAUAUUUAUAAAAUUAUUUUAAUAUUUUUAAAAUUACUUUUGCAAAAUAAUUUUUAAAAAUUUAUUUGGUCGACGGUUUAAAACGUACUCUCUUUGAAUUUGUCGGGGGAAAAAAAUCUCAUUUUUGGAUAAAAUUAGAAGGGUAUAUUUAAGUUCUCAAAAACUAUUUCUGCUAAAAGAUAAA
rnacentral:lncRNA from 1 species